UACUAGAAGUACCAGAGCCUCACUGUCAGU
rnacentral:piRNA from 1 species